rnacentral:tRNA from 3 species
GCGCGCGUAGCUCAGUGGUGGAGCGCUUCCUUGACAUGGAAGAGGUAGAUGGUUCGAUUCCAUUCGCACGCACUA